AAAUUGAAGAGUUUGAUCAUGGCUCAGAUUGAACGCUGGCGGCAGGCCUAACACAUGCAAGUCGAACGGUAACAGGAAACAGCUUGCUGUUUCGCUGACGAGUGGCGGACGGGUGAGUAAUGUCUGGGAAACUGCCUGAUGGAGGGGGAUAACUACUGGAAACGGUAGCUAAUACCGCAUAACGUCGCAAGACCAAAGAGGGGGACCUUCGGGCCUCUUGCCAUCGGAUGUGCCCAGAUGGGAUUAGCUAGUAGGUGGGGUAACGGCUCACCUAGGCGACGAUCCCUAGCUGGUCUGAGAGGAUGACCAGCCACACUGGAACUGAGACACGGUCCAGACUCCUACGGGAGGCAGCAGUGGGGAAUAUUGCACAAUGGGCGCAAGCCUGAUGCAGCCAUGCCGCGUGUAUGAAGAAGGCCUUCGGGUUGUAAAGUACUUUCAGCGGGGAGGAAGGGAGUAAAGUUAAUACCUUUGCUCAUUGACGUUACCCGCAGAAGAAGCACCGGCUAACUCCGUGCCAGCAGCCGCGGUAAUACGGAGGGUGCAAGCGUUAAUCGGAAUUACUGGGCGUAAAGCGCACGCAGGCGGUUUGUUAAGUCAGAUGUGAAAUCCCCGGGCUCAACCUGGGAACUGCAUCUGAUACUGGCAAGCUUGAGUCUCGUAGAGGGGGUAGAAUUCCAGGUGUAGCGGUGAAAUGCGUAGAGAUCUGGAGGAAUACCGGUGGCGAAGGCGGCCCCCUGGACGAAGACUGACGCUCAGGUGCGAAAGCGUGGGGAGCAAACAGGAUUAGAUACCCUGGUAGUCCACGCCGUAAACGAUGUCGACUUGGAGGUUGUGCCCUUGAGGCGUGGCUUCCGGAGCUAACGCGUUAAGUCGACCGCCUGGGGAGUACGGCCGCAAGGUUAAAACUCAAAUGAAUUGACGGGGGCCCGCACAAGCGGUGGAGCAUGUGGUUUAAUUCGAUGCAACGCGAAGAACCUUACCUGGUCUUGACAUCCACGGAAGUUUUCAGAGAUGAGAAUGUGCCUUCGGGAACCGUGAGACAGGUGCUGCAUGGCUGUCGUCAGCUCGUGUUGUGAAAUGUUGGGUUAAGUCCCGCAACGAGCGCAACCCUUAUCCUUUGUUGCCAGCGGUCCGGCCGGGAACUCAAAGGAGACUGCCAGUGAUAAACUGGAGGAAGGUGGGGAUGACGUCAAGUCAUCAUGGCCCUUACGACCAGGGCUACACACGUGCUACAAUGGCGCAUACAAAGAGAAGCGACCUCGCGAGAGCAAGCGGACCUCAUAAAGUGCGUCGUAGUCCGGAUUGGAGUCUGCAACUCGACUCCAUGAAGUCGGAAUCGCUAGUAAUCGUGGAUCAGAAUGCCACGGUGAAUACGUUCCCGGGCCUUGUACACACCGCCCGUCACACCAUGGGAGUGGGUUGCAAAAGAAGUAGGUAGCUUAACCUUCGGGAGGGCGCUUACCACUUUGUGAUUCAUGACUGGGGUGAAGUCGUAACAAGGUAACCGUAGGGGAACCUGCGGUUGGAUCACCUCCUUA
rnacentral:rRNA from 1 species